rnacentral:rRNA from 1 species
UACGUAGGGUGCGAGCGUUAAUCGGAAUUACUGGGCGUAAAGCGUGCGCAGGCGGUGAUGUAAGACAGAUGUGAAAUCCCCGGGCUCAACCUGGGACCUGCAUUUGUGACUGCAUCGCUAGAGUACGGUAGAGGGGGAUGGAAUUCCGCGUGUAGCAGUGAAAUGCGUAGAUAUGCGGAGGAACACCGAUGGCGAAGGCAAUCCCCUGGACCUGUACUGACGCUCAUGCACGAAAGCGUGGGGAGCGAACAGG